ensembl:lncRNA
GAGUUUGAAUGGAUAAGGGAGUGAGGACAAUACCGUCCAGGUGGAGCAAGAGGACUAUAAAAAGCCCCAGAGAUGUGAGAGAUCACAAAGCCAUCUCCUUUCUAUCAAUACUCCCAAGCUUUAGUUCAGGCUCUCUUCUUUCUUCAAACUAUUCAAAAAUCUUGUAAUUGACCCACCUGUCCCCAGUCAUGUAAAGGCUGCCAAUGAUGUCCUUAUCUGUAACCCAGGCACUUUAGCUUCAUCCCCUGGAGGGAGCAGAGUGUAGUGCUCCUCUGGGAAGGAGAAAAGAUGAUCAGGGAAGCACUCUGCCUCCUUCUCUGGCUGUGAAGUCCACAAGUGACUCCUUUUGCUGCCCAGUCUUCCAUAGGAAAGGUAUAGGUGCCCGCCAUUAUGAGGUGGGGGGUAGUAUUUUCCCUUCUUUCUGUCCAGUGAACCCAAAAGCAUAGGACCCCAAAGAAGAUCCAAACAAGUCUUUACUUAAGGUUUCAGACAAUAAAAUACAUAUCAUCGAGAGUGGUAGUGUGGGGUAAGGGUGGACUUUAAAUGGCUUCACCUCCCUUAUUUUAAUCUAAUCCCCAUUCUAGAAGGUAUUCACAUGGAUGUUCCCCCCAAUGGCAGAGUGUCUCCCCAUGGAAUCCUUCUUCUCCUUUCCUCAUGCUACCCUCUUCUUGCAUCCCCUGUGCUUGGGGUGUUUCCUUGUUUUUCCUCUUCCCUUUUUGGAUCGUGGACCUUCUCCCAGCAAUUAUCAGGCCUCUGGCCUCUUCUUGGGUCUUGGAAAUCUUCUCAGUCUCCAAGUUGUAUGUUGAAGGUUGCUGAUUUUGAGUCAUAAGUCAGUCAUAGUCAUUCUUUCCCCUAUCCACUUCUAUUCCAGGCUAAGGGGAGAAAGGGAAUUUUCGGUGGUGAGGAGAAGAGAAAGGGCAUUGGGAGUGGCUGUCCACUUUGUAUUGCAGCUUAAUUUUAUUUUUCUGGUUUUCUUGAGAGGUAUCUUUAAAAAAAAUCAGAGAUCUUAUCCUGCAAGGGUCAUUCUCCAGCCAAUAACAGUCACUGAGUCUUUAUAUGAGAUUCAUAUUUGUCGGUGUCGCAAUCCAAUGUACACAUCAGGAUAGAUGCGGAGAGGGCUGAUGGCCACUCUGAGUUUAUCAUAACCAGCGUUUCAAUAUAUACAUAGCUUACAGCUCUUAAACAUACACAGGUGUUCUGGAUGAAGUAAUUAGCGAAUGCCAAGAAUUCUUAGUGAUUUCUCAAGGAGCCCUCCCUUGGCCUCUGUUUUGAUAUUAUCAUGUUAUUGCUGUGCUCCUAUAUUUUUAUCUCGGAGCAGGCAAGGUCUCUUAGGCAAUGGUCCCUCCUGCUCCCGAUAUCAAUAUUGUUUCUCCAUCUGUGCCCCCCGGGCGGCCGCCGCCUGUCUUAGAUUGCCCCCCCAGGGGGUCUUACCCGUCAUUGGCUAACCGGCCUUCUCACCUCUGGGUCACAGUUUGUUGGCAAGCUUUUUCCAGUGAUUAUUAACCCUUCCUGUGUCAGGGGCGGCUACAAAUUCCCUCUCCUAAUGUUCGUUCUUAUUUUGCUUUGCAUAUUUUUUAAAGUAUCUCCCUCCUUAGCAACCUGAAUAACAUUACAAAUCCAUGAACCUAGACUCAGAAGGUGUCAUGUCCAGUCACUGCUUCUCAAUUCCUGGCCUCCUCUCCCUCAACUGCAGUGGGGAGAGACAAGGACAGCCCUACUACAUAUCUCAACCUCUGCCUGAGGCACAUCUUCAAUCUCUGGCCUAAAGGAUCAAGUCCAAACUUCUUGUCAAAGCAUAGGCUCUGACGAAGAACUGGCCCUGCCUCUUCUCCACCCCAUCUCCAAUUACCUUCCACAAAUAAUGAAUGCAACAGCAAUAUGAAACCACUAGUCUUUAUGGUUCCCACCUCCUAGGCCUUUGAGAGUUCUACUUCCUCUGCCUGGAGUCCUUUCACAAACAUUGUCUACCUGGCAAACGCCUAUCCAUGGAUCAAAACACCUUGGAGGCACAAUCUCCUCUUUGAAGCCUUCCCUGAUCAGCCCCUCAUAAUCAUUCUCUCUGCUAUAUUACCUCUAUACCUCAUACACAACUUUUAUUAUUAUUAGCUUCCAUUUGUUGAGUGUGUCUGUUUUAUUCCAGAGAUGAUAAAACAAAAGUUAUUUAGGAAGAGUCGAGUAGCUUACUUAAAUCCACAAAAUUAAAGCAAGAUGCAGGAUUUUCAUCAAGGCUUGUCUAGCUCCAAAGUCUAUACAUUAUCCACUGCCACAUUCUACCUCCUAUUUCUGCAUGUAUUAUUUGUUUAUAUCGUAUAUUAUUUGUUUAUAUCAGUUUCCCCCAUAUACACCUCUUGACUGAGAUUAACUGAAAACAGGAACAAUGUUUUAUUCAUCUUUGCAUCACCAGUACCUGGAAUAUAAUAUGCAUUCAAUAAAUGUUUGUGGAACUCAGCUGAACUCUUUUUUAAAUGCAAAUCCUAUUAGUUGUAUUCAAUAUUGCUCUAUCUUCUUUUCAUUGAUUAAUUCUUGGUAUUUAUCUAAAUUUAUCUUCUUCAUUUUGGAUCAUUAAAAAGAGGUUCAAUGGGAUGUUUUUCAAAUUCAUUACCUCCCAAAAGGGUAAUGAACCAAAGAGCAGGAUUGUCAUCACUUUAAUAGUGAUGUACUUGAUUCAAGCAAUCAUUUCUAGACAUGCUUUAGGAAGCAAAAUAUUAGCUCUCCAGUUGCCAAAUUCCAAAUCUUGACUUAGCAGGAAGAGGCCCAAUUCGGGGAAAGAAUUUUUAUCAUUGACUUCAAGCAAACAUACUUAAGCUACAGUUGGCACAUCUUCUCUGUAUGCUCAGGAUUUUUACAGAUGGGGUCACAUUGUAAUUGUAUCUUCUCCUAUAAGCUAUUGAUGAUGAUAUGCAU